rnacentral:ncRNA from 1 species
UAAAUAAUCUCCGAACAACUGUGUCUAAGGAAUAAAAUCUAUGAUACUUUUGUCAAACAGAAAUAAAUAUUGUUUACUUUUUAAUUCUGUUUCAGGGUUUUGCGGGAAACUGCCCAGCCUUCCGUGUUUGAAAAGGAGGAUUAUUUAAACU